rnacentral:misc_RNA from 1 species
CACAAUUGCCAAAAGUCUAUGUCCCAUCCUCUUUUCUCUUCCUUCCCCUCCUCCUCUGCCGCUGCUGCUUUAGCGCCGAGGAUUCUUUUAGCAUGGGACAGGUCUUCUAAUUUGUGUUAUCAAGAUUUGAGCAAGCACUGUCUCCAUCGCAUCUCUAUUAAGCUUGAAUGACCUAGAUGUUAGGGUUGAAAGGAACGGAGGAUUUCUUAUUCUAUGCACAAAUCUCAGAACGCUUCUUAAAUUGUUCUGAUGCUACUAAAGCCAAGG